GUUUCGUAUACAGACCGCCACUGUGGCAUACUAAAAAGUUAAAACGGCUCGAGGUUUUACAGAGCAAUAUAUCAAGUUGUACUUUUUAUUACAAUCUGCAUGUGUUUCUCCUGUAGGCACAGUAAGUUUAAAGUUGUAUAUUACCCGCUAACUAAUUCAGUUAUUUGGAAUUGCUUCGUGCUGCAAUAUAUAAUAUACACUGUCACUGUAUACAGUCUAUAUAUAGUAAUAAUAUAACUUACUGAAAUUUAUGGCUUUGGUGAGACAUAGACAUAUAUGAUAUACCAUGGACAUUGGACAUAAUUUAAUAAUAUGUUUAUAGUUUAAAUUUUGCAACAAAAAGUGGAAUUGCAGUAAACAUGCAUGUGAUAAUUAUUGUAAACAAAGUGACGAGUAAAUUACUG